rnacentral:lncRNA from 1 species
GUAAUCCGAGGCGCGAUUACUUUUCAAAUUCCUGGUACGGCUUCGUCUCAACCGUCCGCUUCUUUCUACUGCUAAAAUCCCGCCAUCGCUUCAAUAAUAAGCGCGAUCCGAGGCGUGGUUCUCAAUCCAAUCAAUUUCAAAUUCUCUGUACGGUUACGCUUCAAUAGCUGGUGUAAUCCGAGGCGCGAUCCUCGAUCCAAUCAAUUCCAAACCUUCUGUACGGUUUAGUUUCAGCCGUCCAUUUCUUUUCUACGGCCCCGAUCUCACAGUCUAUUUUUGUCUUACAUGCGGUAUUAAUUAGGUCAUCUUAAUUACCGUCGUCUAUUCAUCAUUAUAGCCGACCUCGGAACUCGCUUUGAUGCGAUGAUUCGAUGCGACAGCCAACUUUUCUUCUUCGCAAAGUUUCUUAUUCUCUUUUAUACUCAACCUUUGUCUUUUUUGUUUCUCUUUACUUCUUCCUCGUUCUUUCCGACCUCUUCUCCAUCUCUCGUCUACAGCUUCUGCUCACCUUCUUCUUCCCUAGCAUCUUUUCGCUUCGAGUAAUGGCGCCACUUCCGCCUUUACCUACUCGUCCUU